UACGUAGGUGGCAAGCGUUGUCCGGAUUUAUUGGGUUUAAAGGGCGCGUAGGCGGUGUGUCAAGUCAGGCGUGAAAGCCCCGGGCUCAACCUGGGAACCGCGCUUGAGACUGGCACGCUCGAGUUCGGGAGAGGAUGGUGGAAUUCCCAGUGUAGAGGUGAAAUUCGUAGAUAUUGGGGAAGAACACCGAUGGCGAAGGCAGCCAUCUGGACCGACACU
rnacentral:rRNA from 1 species